CUACGGGAUGCAGCAGUGGGGAAUAUUGCACAAUGGGCGCAAGCCUGAUGCAGCCAUGCCGCGUGUAUGAAGAAGGCCUUCGGGUUGUAAAGUACUUUCAGCGGGGAGGAAGGGAGUAAAGUUAAUACCUUUGCUCAUUGACGUUACCCGCAGAAGAAGCACCGGCUAACUCCGUGCCAGCAGCCGCGGUAAUACGGAGGGUGCAAGCGUUAAUCGGAAUUACUGGGCGUAAAGCCCACGCAGGCGGUUUGUUAAGUCAGAUGUGAAAUCCCCGGGCUCAACCUGGGAACUGCAUCUGAUACUGGCAAGCUUGAGUCUCGUAGAGGGGGGUAGAAUUCCAGGUGUAGCGGUGAAAUGCGUAGAGAUCUGGAGGAAUACCGGUGGCGAAGGCGGCCCCCUGGACGAAGACUGACGCUCAGGUGCGAAAGCGUGGGGAGCAAACAGGAUUAGAUACCCUUCGUAGUC
rnacentral:rRNA from 1 species